AAUGGAGCAGGCAUUAGGCACAACACUAGUUAGCCCACAACGCCUUGUUUAGCCACACCCCCAAGGGUACUCAGCAGUAAUAGAUAUUAAGCAAUAAGUGUAAACUUGACUUAAUCAAAACCAAGAGGGCCGGUAAAACUCGUGCCAGCUACCGCGGUUAUACGAAUGGGCCCAAGUCGAAAAGCAUCGGCGUAAAAUGUGGAAUAUAAAACACUAUACUAAAGCCAAACUACUUCAAAGCCGUAAUACGCAUUCGAAAAAAAGAGGCUCUUCCACGAAAGUGGCUUUAAAUAUUUAGACCACGAAAGCUGGGAAACAAACUGGGAUUAGAUACCCCACUAUGCCCAGCCCUAAACAUAAGUGACUUCACACACCACUCACUUGCCUGGGGAUUACGAGCACUAGCUUAAAACCCAAAGGACUUGGCGGUGCUUCAGACCCACCUAGAGGAGCCUGUUCUAGAACCGAUAAUCCCCGUUUAACCUCACCCUCUCUUGUUAUUUCCGCCUAUAUACCGCCGUCGUCAGCUUACCCUGUGAAGGUCCAACAGUGGGCACAAUUGGCACAGCCCAAAAUGCCAGGUCGAGGUGUAGCGUAUGGGAGGGGAAGAAAUGGGCUACAUUCACUGCACCAGUGUAAACGAAAAAUAUCUUUGAAACAAGUAUUUAAAGGAGGAUUUAGCAGUAAGAAGGGAGUAGAGUGCCCCCCUGAAGCCUGGCUCUGAAGCGCGUACACACCGCCCGUCACUCUCUCCUUUGCUUUUGGGCAAAUACUAACUAAAUAAAAUCCUUGUGCAUACGGGA
rnacentral:rRNA from 1 species